rnacentral:rRNA from 1 species
UACGUAGGGGGCAAGCGUUGUCCGGAUUUAUUGGGCGUAAAGAGCGUGUAGGCGGCCAGACAGGUCCGUUGUGAAAACUGGAGGCUCAACCUCCAGACGUCGAUGGAAACCGUCUGGCUAGAGUCCGGAUGAGGGAGAGUGGAAUUCCUGGUGUGCAGGUGAAAAUGCGCCAGAUAUCAGGAGGAACACCCGUGGCGAAAGGCG